rnacentral:rRNA from 1 species
GACGAACGCUGGCGGCGUGCUUAACACAUGCAAGUCGAACGGAAAGGCCCUGCUUUUGUGGGGUGCUCGAGUGGCGAACGGGUGAGUAACACGAGAGUAACCUGCCCUUGACUUUGGGAUAACUUCAGGAAACUGGGGCGAAUAUCGGAUAGGAGCUCCUGCUGCAUGGUGGGGGUUGGAAAGGUUCGGCGGUUGGGGAUGGACUCGCGGCUCAUCAGCUCGUUGGUGGGGUAGUGGCUUACCAAGGCUUUGACGGGUAGCCGGCCUGAGAGGGUGACCGGCCACAUUGGGACUGCGAUACGGCCCAGACUCCUACGGGAGGCAGCAGUGGGGAAUAUUGCACAAUGGGCGGAAGCCUGAUGCAGCAACGCCGCGUGCGGGAUGACGGCCUUCGGGUUGUAAACCGCUUUCGCCUGUGACGAAGCGUGAGUGACGGUAAUGGGUAAAGAAGCACCGGCUAACUACGUG